rnacentral:rRNA from 1 species
GAUGAACGCUGGCGGCGUGCCUAAUACAUGCAAGUCGAGCGAACAGACGAGGGUCUUGCUCCUCUGACGUUGGCGGCGGACGGGUGAGUAACACGUGGAUAACCUACCUAUAAGACUGGGAUAACUUCGGGAAACCGGAGCUAAUACCGGAUAAUAUAUUGAACCGCAUGGGGCACUAGUGAAAUAAGGUUUUUCUGUCACUUAUAGCUGGAUCCGCGCCGCAUUAGCUAGUUGGUAAGGUAACGGCUUACCAAGGCGACGAUGCGUAGCCGACCUGAGAGGGUGAUCGGCCACACUGGCACUGAGACAGGGCCCACACUCCUACGGGAGGACGCAGUAGGGAAUCUUCCGCAAUGGGCGAAAGCCUGACGGAGCAACGCCGCGUGAGUGAUGAAGGUCUUCGGAUCGUAAAACUCUGUUAUUAGGGAAGAACAAAUGUGUAAGUACCUAUGCACGUCUUGACGGUACCUAAUCAGAAAGCCACGGCUAACUACGUG